rnacentral:ncRNA from 1 species
GUGUUGUAUGAAAUGAGAGCUAGUUGACACUCCCUUGACAAGGAUGGAAGAGGCCCUUGAGCCCAACAACCCACAUAUGACUAAGGCAUUGAUCCCUUAGUCAUAACUUUAC